rnacentral:rRNA from 1 species
AUGCCUAAUCUCUGGAAGCUCAAGCUAGUUUUCAAUGCCAUCCCCUAUUUUGAAAAAGAUGGUACUGCACUCAUCAGCAUCGAGCAUAUGCCAGGCCUUAAAGAGAUCUCCACAAAUUUUGGGGGUGAAGCUCCUGAUCUAGAGUAUGCCUUGAGGACAUUGGUUAGUAAUCAUCCGACCAAUCCUAUAAUUAACAUGCCAUCAAAUAAGACUCUGGGGGGAGAACAACCACAUAGGAAUCUGGAGCAAGAAUUAGAUGAGAUUCUGAAGGAAGAUCCAUAUGGGAAUCUGGAGCAAGAAUCGGAUGAAAUUCUGGAGGAACAAGAGCCAGAUGAAUACGAUGAGAGAUUAGAGAGGCGACAGGCUGAUAAAAGGAUUUCAAGGUCAUCAGAUCCAUCUUCGCGUCUACAUGUUCCAGGUAUAUUUUCUGUCAACUGGUGGUAA